UAGGUAUGCAUGAAGACCAGAGGCCCUAACUGGGCUUCUGAGGCCAUAUGCAGUUGCUGGGAUYGUCGUACCUGGAUAAGCUCUCCUUCUCAAUUCGUAAUGAUGUCCAACCGGCAAAUGAUGCUUGCUGUUUUCUAAAGUCAGCUGAUGCAUAUUUACAUUGGUGAAGAAGAGGACAGACUCCGCAGCGUGCAGGACUUGCUUGUGCUCUUUUGUGUGAAGGCUGAGCCCGGCUGGGACUACACCCUGUGCUCACCCCUCAGAAAAUAAAUGUCCUGCUGUUUCUGGGUACCAGAAGUUGCAGAAUCCAUGAGGUCUCAUGUAAGGCUGUAAGAGGGGAAGAGAGGAGGCAGGAUCCUGGCUCUUUUGAAACCUUUAAGGACAGAUGUACCAGUGCGCUGGAUGUUGCUUCAUUGCAUCGGGCUAUUCUCCUCCUGCGAAGCAGAGGGACUGUGAGACUCACUGCAUCAAAUAUUCUCCAAAGGYGGGCCAAUGAGAGCAGCACUGCAGUCCAGCUUUUAUUGGGGUGACUGCAGCUAAGCUUCAGUAUCAUUGAACUCGACAGGCCACAGCUGGUAAGAAAGUAGGGCAGCACGUCUCUGGGUCAGUGACUGGACUUGUCCCUCAGCUCUGCAUUCCCUUAAUCUCAGAGGAGAAAUUACUGUGUAUUUCUCAGUAAUGAAAACUGAAUCUCUCUCCGCUCUGACUGGCUGAAGGUGCAUGGACAUACAUCUCUGUGUUAUAUAGAAAAGCCUUUGGUUUGAUGCUGUGUGGCGAAGUCAGCGUGCUCGUCAGAAAUAUUGUCACUUCAGUGUCUGAUCUGCUUUUCACCACCUUUCUCCCAGUGCCAGGUAGAAUAAAAUAAUAAAACUCAGAUCUGUACA
rnacentral:lncRNA from 1 species